CCGGCAUUGACGCAUCACGCAAACCGCCUCUUGGCCAGCUUCUUGGAUGAUGGUGCUCCGUGGGAGUGUCAGCUUGCAGAGCGUGACCUUUGCUGCAAAUACAUGUGAGCAAGGGAUAGGGUUGCCCUGCGACAGAGCAGUUCAGAAGAUCUGCCUGUGGAGCGUUUGAAGGAAUCAGGCUGGGCUGGGAAAUUGAUCCCAGGUGUCCUUAAGGUUCAGAAUGUAACAAGGUGAUGCUACCAAUGGAUAGGCAAGAGUUCUCCAUGAUAACUUUAUUUCCAGAGAAGAGCAUAAAGAAGUCAAUGACCUGUUGGAGGACCUGAACGAGAGCCCUGUGUUCUAAAGCCAGGAAUGCCUGCCGGACUGGCAUCCCACCUGCGGAU